UGAUAGUCUCGACUUCCUGCCAAAACAGGGUUUUCCGGCAUCUAUUUCUUUCCUGAACAUCACCAGAUGCCCCUCUAUGAAGAAGAGAUAGCAAACUGUGGAACUGUAAUGAUUGGAUUAUCUAAGGCCAAUGAUUUAAACGUCCAUCAAUUAGCUGUCCAUGAAUGGUUGUCCCGCAGUGUGGCAUGAAUAUGAUUCUCCUUCAAUUGGAUAGAUAUGUUUUUGUACACACACAUCUCUGUUGAAGUGAGAACGGGUGAUGAUGUCCACAAAACAAAAUGAGAGCCAGGUUUCUAUGGAGCACUGCCCUCAUGCUUGCCCUCGUUGGAAUUCUGUCCAUUAUGUUACUAGAGCAGUAUUCAUACAUGUUGAGCUGGGGUAUGAAAAAGAAAAGCACUUGUGUUGGCAUCCUAUCGAAACAGAUAUGAGAAGAAACAGGAUUUUCACAUCUUGAUGUGGAAAUGAAGUGGGAGAACGCAUCGAUCUGAAGCCUAUGAAGCGAUCCAAAGGAACUGAGAGAUUACAGCAUUUUGCUCUAUCAUUGGGGAUGUUAUGAGCUAUCCCUUGAGUUGUAUCAGGACAAAAAGGUAUGUUUUCUCUAUGUGUGGUGACAUGCAACUACAAUUCGAAUCUAAUAAAAUAUGAGCAAUCCCUUCAAGUAUGUUCAAGCCAAAGAAACAAGGGGAGAUGGAUGUCGAAAGCAAGGAUGGUUUGCCUAAAAAAACGUAUGGAUUCAAACAAGGUUUUAGUGACGUUCAAGCGGGUUUAUGCCCUCGAGUUUUGAUAAGUAACCGGUGUUGGUUCACCAAGAAAACGAGGGAUGGAGAAGUCUCUUGGUGGAAGCAAAGAUAUGAACUUGGAUGCAUCUCCAAAUCUGGUGAGCAGGAAACUAUGAAAACAAAGCAGGAAGAGUUGAUGGAAAUUUGUAAUGGCCGCAGAGAUGGUGCUGCUGCUGUGAGCAAUAAGGAUGUCAAUGCCAAGGCGUUCAGAAAGCAUCAUAAAGUCAAGGAAUGGCCCAGGACUAUUGAGACUCAAGAGGCAAUGUGUGUUGAUUCACCUAGCAAACGAGGGAAGGAGAACGCCCUUGAUCAGAGCAAUGAUGUGAAGUACUGGGAUGCGGCAAAGCAGGACGAGUUGAUGGAAACUUGUAAUGCAGCAGAGAUGGUGCUGCUGCUGUGAAUAAGAAUAAUACCAAGGGCAAGAGCAAGGGCAAGGCUGCAGGAGGGUGUCGCAGGGUCAAGGAACGCCGCAUUGAGAGCAGAGAGGUUGAUCUUGAGCUUCCCCUACCUCAGGCCACCAUUAGCUGCUGAGGAUGUGGGAAAUGCUCUCCAAUUUUUGAAGUUCAGUGAAACUUUUAGAGUUUUAUAAAAUUGAAAACUCCCAAGCGGAAUCUGUCUUCGACAACGCCUGGACAGUUUGUGAUGGGGGUGACUUAUUUCUGUGCAUUCUGUGGAAAUGUAAAGACAUGGCUAUCUGGGGCAACCAAAAUUACGACAAGUGGUAGUCCUUGAAUUCCGCUGUGUGGCUCUGCCUAUCCGGCUUGAAUAUGAUUCUCCUGCAUCGAAAAGGUAGACACAGUGCGGAUACGGUGAAGAGUGUGUGGGUUCGUUGCGUGCUGCCUCAUGGCCGUGCUUGCUUGAAUACCUGUACAUUACGUUUCCUUGACUAGGUGGCGUGGCUUGCGUUUGUGGUCAUGAAUACUGCACAAUGUAAAAAUAUGAAGCGAGAAAUUGGGUCACUUUGUCGCAAUGCCCUACUCAGAUGUAUGGUGCUCUCCAUGAAUUAGCACACCAUGGCCUCGUUUGGCAUGCCGCGUAAAGUACAGGAUAUGACUAAUAGUACGAAGCCCGUUGUUUGGUGCAUUAGGACACGGGGUUCUGCAUUCAUCGUUUGCUUGGCGGUUCUUCAAAGAAUAAUUGUUUCAUUUGACCUGUUUUAGGAUAUGAAAUUGUUAUUGAGUUUUGAUUAAAUACAAAUGGGAGUGCUUACAACCUUCUC
rnacentral:sRNA from 1 species